rfam:Oryza nivara chromosome 9, whole genome shotgun sequence.
AAUAAGUGCAGUUUUAGCACUAUUCAUGUUUAACGUUUGACUGUUCGUCUUAUUUGAAAAAAGAUUAUGAUUAGUAUUUUUAUUGUUAUUAGAUGAUAAAACAUGAAUAGUACUUUAUGUGUGACUAAUUUUUUUAAAAUAUUUUUCAUAAAAUUUUCAAAUAAGACGGAUGGUCAAAGCGCUAAUUAUGGAUAUUUAUGGCUGUACUUAUU